rnacentral:rRNA from 1 species
UACAGAGGGUGGCAAGCGUUAAUCGGAAUUACUGGGCGUAAAGCGUGCGUAGUCGGUUAUCUAAGUCGGGUGUGAAAUCCCCGGGCUCAACCUGGGAAUUGCAUUCGAUACUGGAUAGCUAGAGUUCGGCAGAGGGAAGCGGAAUUUCGGGUGUAGCGGUGAAAUGCGUAGAUAUCCGAAGGAACAUCAGUGGCGAAAGCGGCUUCCUGGACCAGAACUGACGAUCAGGCACGAAAGCGUGGGGAGCAA